ACAGAACCCAACAGAGCGACUGUAACCAUGGCGGAAGAGGAAGUUAAGUACGCUUCGGUUGUAUUCAAAAGUAAGAAACAUCCUCCACCCCAAGCCUUCUGAAGCAGAAGUCCAGUAAAGAGCAUCACAGCAGACCAGACUGCCUCCUAACAGCUCUCAUACAGGACUGCAGCAGGACUUUAAACAUUUGUUCAGGAUGAACAGAAAUCCACAGGAGGAAACUAGUACUUUAACAUAUUCUGUUUAUGUGUCUGCAUGUAAGACAUUAUCUACUAUAUGUAUUUAUGUACCACAAUGUUGUCUACAUUUGUGUUUGAUGUUUAUUUUUCAGAGGAAAUCAGAGAAGACGAUAACUAUGGUAAUGCUCCAGCCUGUACUUUGGAUGAAGUGGCAGCCCCUCCAGACCAGAGGUCUCUCUUCUUCUCUCAGUCUUUUCCACUGAUAGCAGUGUGUUGGCUGAUACUGUUAGUCAUCAUGGUCCUUCGUAUCCACUUUACUUCUGUCAUUUCUGAAAACGACACCAAGCUGACGGCAGAAAUCCAGAACCUGACUGCAGUAAACCAGCAGCUGGAGACACAGAGGAACAACUUAACAGAAGAAAUACAAAACAUGGAGACAAACUAGAAUAAAGUGAAACAAUGUAAAGCUUGUCAGGAGGGCUUGAAAUGCACAGAGUCUAACUGCUAUGCGAUUAAUAACGCUGCUCUUGAUGAUCGGAAAACCUGGGAAGAAGCUCGAGAAGACUGCAGAG